rnacentral:lncRNA from 1 species
CGCUUCAUAAACUAUGUUGAACUAGAAAUGAAUACAGCAUGAAGCAUCACCAUUUACCACCAGGAUAGUAUGACAUUAGAAUCUAGCCAUUUACUGAGCACCUACUAGUUGGCUUUCCAUACUCAUUGAGAAUACCAAGAAGAAUAAGCUCAUUUCUUAUGCUGAAGAGGAGACAGACAUGCAAAUCAAGAAGUGGACACAUUACAAAAUGACCCAGGAGACACUGAGGGCCUCUGCUCCAUCCUUGCCAAUUCUGAGAAUAGUGCAGCCACAAGGAGGAUUGUUCUGAGGCUUCUCACAGGGCACAAAACCCCCACGCACUGUCCUCUGGCCACCUACAGCCUCUCUGACUCUGCACUGCCUCUGACCCUGCACUGCCUGCUUGAGCAAAGCAGUCUUUGAAAACCAUUUCCAGCCUGGCUAAUGAUGCAGUGCUUUGAAAAGUGCCACCAGGAUGAAAAACAGCUCACAAAUGGGGACUCCUCGUUAUUUUACCAGCACAGCCGGCAAGAAGCUCCUGCCAAGCAAGAUCAAACUUCUCAGGAAUGUUUUGAAAAGCUGGUGGAAACAAGGGCCUCUGUCACAUUUCUGUCACACCUCACCCCAGCAUGUGGGGAAAGCUCUCUUGGAACGAAUGUUAGUCGGUCUCAGAAACACACAAAAUUGAUGUCUCCAGCAGCAUUGCCAUUUCCACUGCAGACUUAAAGCUAUAUCUUUCUGGAUUCUAAUGCAGAAAGGGAACAGUUAGAGAAUCCAUCCAGGCUUUUUCUAAAAUGAGAGCCGGUUAAAGAUGCUGUUUAAAAAGGUGCCUCUCAAAGCUUCCCUCCUGACCUUCCAUACCAAAAGCCUGAGCUUAAUUACCUACAUAAUUUUCCUGGCUCCUGUGCUGUGGUCCAGGGGCCCUCUCUGUCCACCGGAAGCUAAGCCAUCUGUCGGACAUCUCUCUCUGGACUCCCCAGGGUUCCCUCUCACCUACACAUCUCGAUUAGCAGAUGACAGUUCUGCUAUAAUGUUUAUUUUACCUCUAACAGAUUUUCAGCUAAGUAGGUGAAGGGGCGGAGGUUCCCUGCCCAGAGCCAGUUCUGGGCUUCCUUUGGCUCCUCCUUCCAGUCUGCUAGGAAAAGGAACCUGGAGGCCUUUAGGAGGGAGGAGAGAUCACAUUUUCUUUGCCAUUGAGUAGUGAAGGUCAGGCCCUCCUUGCCAGCCACAAAGCAGAGAAUUGUUUGUUUAUUUCUCCGAGUAGCACUGUUCUGUCUCUGUGAGCAGCAGACAAAACCAGAAAAGGGAAUUCAUUCUGUGGAGCAGACCAAAGGCAGGGGGAAAACUUGUCCUUUGGAAAGAUAAAAGCAAAUUCAAUGAAGUGAUCAUCUUAAAUCUUCUAGUUAUUCUUCCCCUCCACCACCUUUCACCCCCAAUCUGAGUUUUCCUGGGAUUUAGGUAAGAACCCAUGAGAGAAAUGAGAUAUGGCAGAUAGAGAUGAGAGCAGCAAUAGGAACUUGGGGUGGAAAGGUGUGCAUUCAUCUAUAGAUCACUCAGCCAAAUAAGCCACUUAGAGAGUCCAGGCCCACAUUAAUUCCUUUGAUGACUCAGUGACGAGCAGAAUGCAUUUGCAAUACAGUAAGGCCAGAAACCUGGAAGAAGCAUCCUCCAUUCCUCCCUCUCUCUUAUCCUCCACACCUAAGCCAUGAUCAAUCUUACAGAGUCUGACUCCUAAAUAUCUGUCAAACUCACGCUCUUCUCUCCAUUUCCAUGGCUACUGCUGUAAUUCAGCACCAUCGAUUCCUGCCCAAAUGAUUGACACAGCUUUCUAAUUAGGCUGUUUGCCCCUUCCAAUCUACUCCCCACAUAGCACCCAGAGAAACCUUUCACAGGUGCAAAUCUUAUGCCAUUUUCUGGAUAAAACCCUUCAAGAUCUUAUUUCCUCCUCUCUUCUCCAGGCCCUAGUUUUAUGCUGAAAGCCCCAAGUCCUGCAUAAUUUGGUUCCUGCUUA